rnacentral:rRNA from 1 species
UUGACCUCGGAUCAGGUAGGGAUACCCGCUGAACUUAAGCAUAUCAAAAGGCGGAGGAA